GCGAUGACUUCUACGAGUUCACUGCAAAAGACUACUACCGAACUUUGUCUUCCAAGAAGGAUGAUAAAACCAUGAAACCUAGGAAACUCCGAGAAGCUGAGCAGGCUGCCCGCAGAGCAAGAAUAACCAAGAUUUUUUCUCUCCUGUGGGAAGGAAUCUGUGGUGAAGCUUUGGGAGGUUGCACAGCGAGAUUAGCCAAACAAUACGUUGGAGCUACACACAAAUAAUUGCGCAGAUAUCGGGGGCCAAAGAUCACACUAUAAAGUUCUUCGAUUUCUCAAAAACGGUGGCGAAGAGAGUUUAUCGAGUUAUUCAGCUAUUGUAUUAUGCAACUCAUUGUGGUGCCUGAGAAUCGGUUGCAUCUGUACUUCAAGAAGAGGAAAGUGGGAGAUGAUGACAAAGCUGAAGACGGCCUUUCAACUUGACCCUGAUGAUUAUGAAGCAAGAUGUAGAAUAUAUGUGGGAGUCUUGUUUGCUGGGUUGUUGGUUCAGGUUGGAGGAUCACCAAUUUGUAAAGUUGAUAGGCUACUUGUUUGCUGGGUUGUUAAUCAAAUGUGGAAUGCUUAACCUUGUUGAUCUUGCUGGGUUUGAGAACAUUUCACGUUCUGGUGUAGGAGAGGCCAUGACGGAGAAAAUAUAGCGUAUGGAGCUUAAUUCAGAAUCCAAGGACAAGAAUAAACUCGAGAAUGCUGAUCAUGCAGUUUUCGAUCUAGCAGAGAAGUAUAGAAAAGUAAAUGCAACCAUCAAAGAAAAAUAAUUUUUGAUCUCUAAUCUCCUUCGAGUAGGUGAGCGAUAAUCUAUAUGUAUUUCUUCAGUUAGCUUAUUGAUGCGUAUGAGUAGCGGAGAUUCCUAUUUCUUCAGUACCCAAGAAAACAUUGGUGUUGGAUACUUAAUCUGGAUUGCCUCUUCAUAUUCCCACCCCACAACCUUCGUUUUUUGCAUGCUUGAUGUCUUUUGGCCUAGUAGUCUCAGUAUCCUUGGUUUAUGCUUAUUGUUAUUGUUACA